AAACAGAGGGAGCCGAAACAGGAACUCAGUGGCACAUCCUUCACUCAGGUUUUAGUUUAAAUUUGACAGAAACCUGAUAAAAUUCCAUUGUUUGCUGUGCAUCCAGGCAUCUGUGAGUUACUUGCACUGAACUGCUUUAGCAGGGACUGGGAAACAUAAGGCAAAACUUCAGAAAAUAUGCCAAAUGUCCUGGGAAUACUGAUCACAGGGAAUGCUGCCCCUGCCUGGUUUAUUUGGAAUUUGUUUGUUCCAAAUGCACACGAAGCAUUUCAGCAUUUUAACUCCUCUGGAAUAACAUCCAGGCAGGGAAUUCCACGUCAGAACCCCCCCUUUGCUCCCCAUCCAGCAGCAAUUCCCAAACAUCUUUGCCCAAUGGAUUAUUACCAUUAGGCUUUUCAAGUCAGGAACCCCAAUUUUCCUAUAAAAUCACACAAGUACUUGGAAUUCUGAUUUACUACAGCUUUUAAACCACUUACUGCAUGAGAAAAAAAAAACAAAACAACAACCCUUAGGAUCUGGAAAAAUUUUAGGCAUUUUUAAUACAGUAUUUUAGGCAGAUGCAAUAAAAUUUGGGCCCACCCCUGAGUUCAAUUCUUAGAUUAACUCAUGGUCUGAAGGUUUUUCACCUCUUGCAUGGCUGCUCAUGCUAAAAACUUCCCUAAUCACGGCUUUAAGCAGAAACAGGAGCUUAGUUAGGAAUUUUAGAGUUAGGAAUUUUCCAGCCUUUUAAGCAAUAAUAAGGUCAGACUCAAACACAAAUCAGAUUUGGAAAGGAGGGGUUUUUUUCAGAAAACCAGGGCUAUUUUCCAGUGGGAUUUGUUGCAGAGUUGCUGUCACUGUAGAUGACAAUUAAUUUCAAACUGAUCACUGUGUACAGACCUUUGUUUGUUGAGCAGUGUCAGCACUUGGGGCACAGAAACCCCAAAUAUUGGCAGGUGAUGAGUGUGUUUCUGGUCCUCUGUGACCCUCCUUUCUCCCUCACCAGGACCACUCUCUGCUUUAUCUAUUUUCUGAAGCCUGCAGAGUCAUAAUUACUUUUUUUUGGGGGGGAGGGGAAGCAAUAAAAACUGUGCUGUAGUAUCAGUGUUCUUGUGGCAAAUAAUUUAUUUCUGAACACGUGACAUGGCAGGCUUCUAAAAAACAGAGGGGUUUGGGUUCUGAGAUGUAAGAACAAUCAUAGAACAAGGCAAAUAUCUCUCAAAGAGCUCUCAGGAUCUGCCCACAGAACAAUCAAAUCCCAGAUCCUAAACCCAUGGCACAGCUGUAGUUGUACCUGUUUCUGGAAAUACAAGAGCAUCCUUCCCUCAGUUACCCAAUUCUGUAUCUUCAGCUAUUUAACAAAAAAAAAACAAAACCUCUUAUUUUUUAAAAACUUCGAGCUUAACAUCCAUCCUUAGAACACUGACAUCUUGUCUAGAGAGUGUUGUCCCCAAAACCUCACUUUUAUACCUAAAAAAAUAACCCGUCCUCCGAUCCCACCCGAACCCCACGUGCAGCUGUUGGAAAAGAGCCAAACUCAAUCCUGACCACAAGGGAAUGAAGGCACUGCUGAAACCUCCCCCCCACCGUGGUCCUGGAGGUUUCUGCACCUCUUGUGGUUUGUCUCUAGGAGACACUGUGGAAUUCUGCCAGGCAAAAUCCCUGGGAACAGGAGCUGCUCCAUGGACAGGAUGUCACCGUAGUCUCCUCCCCGUGUAGUGGAUGUGUCCAGAUUAAUUAUGUUCAUGCAAUUGCAAAAUUCUGUAUUGUUGUCUCUUAGAAGUGUAAACUACUGAAAACUGGGCCUUGCUGAUAUGAAUAAAGUGAUUAAAAACUGGUCUUUA